UGAAGAUAUAUUACCCUCCCUUGUGUGGACGUACGUGGGCCUGCUUUCCAUCUCUCCUCGUAAUAAAUCUCGGACGUUUCGGAUUCUAGUCAAUCCAAAUCCAGACGCUCGCUGAGGAAAUCUCGUUCUCCACAACGCUCCUUCAAUUCUCUCCUUGAAAUCAGGUAAUCCUUCAAUGAUCCUCUCCCCAAACCAACGCAAUGGUUUAAUGGCCGCCGCUUCGCUCCAUGCACACCCAGACUCCUCCUCCAAUACUCUCCCCUCCCAUCCCCCCGUUCGUGUGGCUUUGAUCCAUUGGCUGCAGGCUCCUCUCGCGCGCCUCACGCGGAUCGCGCUCGCAUCCAACGCCUCCCCGCAUUCCCUGCUUCCUCAUCGCUCGUCAAGCCCUACGAGACUCCCUCUAUAAAUUGCCGCCCCUUUUCUCUUGCCUUUCGAUCGAUCUGUCGUGCCCCACACAUUGCUUCUCCUUCCUCCUUAUGGCAGCACACGGCGGGUACAUAUCCAGCGGCCGCUCGCUCCCUGUUUUUGACGCCCCGGCCAUGCAUACCUGUGGUUGCUUCGUAGCACUCGCCUUGAGAUACCAGCGUGGAGGCAGUGAUGCAGACAAGAAGCAUCAUAACAAAAAGAAAAUCAGAUGUUGUGUUGGCUAUGGGAGGAGAUAUGCUCCUGUCAAGGGAGAUGGGGAAGCCGUGUUGUGCAGAUUAGGUGUUUGAUUUAGAAGAUUCACACAUUUCAAUUCAAGCAAAGUUUGUGUGAUGCCUGGCCAUUGCUUACGAUGCGUCGAGUUGUACCAUGCCAUGUGGGCGAUGGCCGAAAUCGCAAUUGCAAACGAAAUAGUUGGAUGGACUAUACCAGAUCGAGCAGAUGGUGAACGACAGGCUGCUGGUGAUUUUUUUGAUGACCACGUGAACAAUAGGAACACAUAAAACCAUAUUUACUUGACUGUCCAUGAACACAUGCUAGCGAUUUCAUGAGUUUCUAAAUAUGGUAAGAACUAUGAGCCUAGCCAUGGGUAAGUGGAUAUAGGACUUAUAUAUGAUUUGUAAUCUGCAUGCUCAUUCUUUCACUAUGAAACCCAUAAAUCUGGUGGUAUUAUAUAAAUUUGCACCCAUAUACUUGCUUAGUACUGCAUUGGAAAUUAAUCAAUAAUAUUGCUUGGAGCAGGGACCAGUUUGGAAGAAAUGCAGCUUUCUUCGGAGUAAGGAGUAACUUUAAUGAAGGCAUUUUUUAUGUAUCACAAACUCGAAAGAGGUCCUCACAAGAGAUAUCUUGAAAAACUAUGAAAAUAGCUAGAAAAAUAAAGAACAGAGUAACAACAAAUAUGCAUGUCGCUGAAGUGAAUUUCUGCUUAUAACUCUCUUUGUUCUUCUAAAAAUAUUAGCGUAAAGCAGGAUUGCAUUUUACUCAGGCUAAAGAGGUUCAGAUUUGAGUGAAGCAUUAGAUUGAGCUGAUGAAAUCAAAUGCACUGGAGAUGUUCGCAAUAACAUUUUGAACUUACAAGUGAAUCCUCCAAGUACAACAUGUGGAUGUGAUUCAUUUAUAAGGGAUGCCACAAUGAGCAAAAUGAAUUGUGAGCAUGUCCAUCUUCAGGGAGAAACUAGCCAACCUGGACUCAUUGGUAUUUGUUAAAAAACAUUAUACACCUCUGUCAAUAAAAAUAUAGAAGAAAACAAUCUUUUUUGUGUAGUUCGUUCACUUCUUAGUUUGCGAUUUUUUUUGUUUUCCUUUUUGAUUGUUCUUCCCUUUUCAGGUGGGUCUUCUACCAGUUUGGCUACUGUUGCACUUGAAUCAUGGUCCGGCGACUGCUGGUCAUUGCCUGUGUUUUAUGUGUCUAACCAUGAGCCACAAAAGCGAAAUGUGCUUCUUCAUGUGCAUGGUCCUAAAAUUAUCGGCAAAUGCCAUUGUAUUCUUUAACAGCGUGGAUCAAGAAGAAGCGCAAUGUGCUACAGAAGUACAAUUCUCUUCCUAACACCCCGAAGGUCAUUUUGUUACUUAUUUAUUGUUAUUUUAUUUUAGGAAUGUUGUUUUACAUCAGAUUCUGAUGCUUUUAUUUUUGGAGCAAGGAUAGUUUACAAAGCUGUUUGCAUUGGUACAGUUGUAACGCUACAUCAUUUGUUAAUUUUCAUUGGUAUAUUGUAUUUCUGCAUUA